CAAUAGCGUAUAUUAAAGUUGUUGCAGUUAAAAAGCUCGUAGUUGGAUUUCUGGUGGGAGCGAUCGGUCUGGCGCUUAGCGCGAGUACUUGCAUCGUCUCCGGCCAUCCUUGGGGAGAGUCUGUCUGGCAUUAAGUUGUCGGGCAGAGGAUCCUCAUCGUUUACUGUGAAAAAAUUAGAGUGUUCAAAGCAGGCUUAUGCCGUUGAAUAUAUUAGCAUGGAAUAAUAAGAUAGGACUUUGGUACUAUUUUGUUGGUUUGCGCACCAAAGUAACGAUUAAUAGGGACAGUUGGGGGUAUUCGUAUUCCGUUGUCAGAGGUGAAAUUCUUGGAUUUACGGAAGACGAACUACUGCGAAAGCAUUUACCAAGGAUGUUUUCAUUAA
rnacentral:rRNA from 1 species